rnacentral:tRNA from 2 species
GGGCCCGUCGCCUAGACGGAUAGGGCGUCGACAUAGACGUAAGCCUUCUAAGCCGAAGGUCGUGGGUUCGAAUCCCACCGGGCCCGCCA